CCAGCUAUACCAUCUAUCUGCUGCUGACCCAGUUAGGUGAUAAUAUACCAGCUAUACCCAUCUAUCUGCUGCUGACCCAGUUAGGUGAUAAUAUACCAGCUAUACCCAUCUAUCUGCUGCUGACCCAGUUAGGUGAUAAUAUACCAGCUAUACCAUCUAUCUGCUGCUGACCCAGUUAGGUGAUAAUAUACCAUCUAUACCCAUCUAUCUGCUGCUGACCCAGUUAGGUGAUAAUAUACCAGCUAUACCCAUCUAUCUGCUGCUGACCCAGUUAGGUGAUAAUAUACCAGCUAUACCCAUCUAUCUGCUGCUGACCCAGUUAGGUGAUAAUAUACCAGCUAUACCAUCUAUCUGCUGCGGACCCAGUUAGGUGAUAAUAUACCAGCUAUACCCAUCUAUCUGCAGCUGACCCAGUUAGGUGAUAAUAUACCAGCUAUACCAUCUAUCUGCAGCUGACCCAGUUAGGUGAUAAUAUACCAGCUAUACCAUCUAUCUGCUGCUGACCCAGUUAGGUGAUAAUAUACCAGCUAUACCCAUCUAUCUGCUGCUGACCCAGUUAGGUGAUAAUAUACCAGCUAUACCCAUCUAUCUGCUGCGGACCCAGUUAGGUGAUAAUAUACCAGCUAUACCCAUCUAUCUGCUGCUGACCCAGUUAGGUGAUAAUAUACCAUCUAAUCUAUCUGCUGCUGACCCAGUUAGGUGAUAAUAUACCAGCUAUACCCAUCUAUCUGCUGCGGACCCAGUUAGGUGAUAAUAUACCAGCUAUACCCAUCUAUCUGCUGCUGACCCAGUUAGGUGAUAAUAUACC
rnacentral:lncRNA from 1 species